CAGCAGCCGCGGGAAUACGGAGGGAGCUAGCGUUGUUCGGAAUUACUGGGCGUAAAGCGCGCGUAGGCAGUUACUCAAGUCAGAGGUGAAAGCCCGGGGCUCAACCCCGGAACUGCCUUUGAAACUAGGUGACUAGAAUCUUGGAGAGGUCAGUGGAAUUCCGAGUGUAGAGGUGAAAUUCGUAGAUAUUCGGAAGAACACCAGUGGCGAAGGCGACUGACUGGACAAGUAUUGACGCUGAGGUGCGAAAGCGUGGGGAGCAAACAGGAUUAGAGACCCCUGUAGUCCCUGUCUCUUAUAC
rnacentral:rRNA from 1 species